UCGGGAUAGCUCAGCCGGUAGAGCAGAGACU
rnacentral:tRNA from 1 species